UUCACACGUCAUACAAUGGUCGGUACAGAGGGUUGCCAAGCCGCGAGGCGGAGCCAAUCCCACAAAGACCGAUCGUAGUCCGGAUUGUUCUCUGCAACUCGAGAGCAUGAAGUCGGAAUCGCUAGUAAUCGCAGGUCAGCAUACUGCGGUGAAUACGUUCCCGGGUCUU
rnacentral:rRNA from 1 species